UACGGAGGGUGCAAGCAUUAAUCGGAUUUAUUGGGCGUAAAGGGCGCGUAGGCGGAUCGGAAAGUCAGAUGUGAAAUCCUGGGGCUCAACCCCAGAACAGCAUUUGAAACUCCCGAUCUAGAGGGUAGGCGGAGAAAAUGGAAUUCCACAAGUAGCGGUGAAAUGCGUAGAUAUGUGGAAGAACACCGGUGGCGAAGGCGGUUUUCUAGCUUACUCCUGACGCUGAGGCGCGAAAGUAAGGGGAUCAAACAGG
rnacentral:rRNA from 1 species